ACACAUACCUCUAUCCAUGCCGGUGGGGGACGUCUCUUGGCCCACAAUCCUGGUUUUCCCUCUAGACAUAUUACAAGGUGUAUCUGGUGCCCUAAACUGCGCGUCGCUUCUCGUUCGUAACACAGGUCUUUUUGAGCGGCUAGGUAGAGAUGCAGUUCUUCGGAAAUUACUGAUGUUUCUGGUUUGAAAUUGUUGAAGUUUUGGAUCUUGUACUGAAAAGCGUCUUAAGUACGGACGGGCACGAGCCACAGCCGCUAGGUCUAGAUUAAAUGAAAGAGAAAAUGGCGUGAAAAAAAAAACAACUACAUGCUGAAGGGUUUUGUAUAGAUGAACAUUUCGAAUGUACAUUUUAUGCAUUUAUUUUUAGACGAGCAACUGCGAAAACGUAACUAUUGGCCCCCUGCAAGAAUCAAACUUGCGGCCCUGCGAU
rnacentral:lncRNA from 1 species